rnacentral:rRNA from 1 species
UUAUCUCUGUAGAGUCUGCAUAUCAAUAAGCGGAGGAAAAGAAACUAACAAGGAUUCCCUUAGUAACGGCGAGUGAAGCGGGAAGAGCUCAAAUUUGAAAUCUUCAAGGUUUUACCUUGACAAAUUGUAGUUUAAAGAAGUGUUUUCUGUUGAAGUUUUGGUAAAAGUUCUUUGGAAUAGGACAUCAUAGAGGGUGAGAAUCCCGUAUUUGACCAGUUACUUUCCAGCUGUUGUGAUACACUUUCAAAGAGUCGGAUUGUUUGGGAAUGCAGUCCAAAAUGGGUGGUAAAUUUCAUCUAAAGCUAAAUAUUGGCGAGAGACCGAUAGCGAACAAGUACCGUGAGGGAAAGAUGAAAAGAACUUUGAAAAGAGAGUUAAACAGUAUGUGAAAUUGUCAAAAGGGAAGCGUUUGACACCAGUGUUGUUUUCUCGAAAAUCAAUUACAAAUGGCUUGAUUUUGUGUUGUAUUGACCUUAUCAAGCUUUCUUCACUUUUUUGAUGUCUUUCUUAAUGCACUUUUCGUUUAACAAGUCAACAUCAGUUUCUUUUGUUGUAAAAGAGUCAUUCGGAAGGUGGCUUUCUUUUCGGAGAAAGUGUUUAUAGCCCUAUACUUCUACAAUCGGAGAGAUUGAGGUCUGCAGCGUAGAUCCUUCGGGGUUAGAUACACUUGUGCUAAGUUGUAGCUUUUCAUAGACAACUUGUUGACUAUGAUCAGUCAUGUAGCUUACUCGCUUAGUGCUAUUUUACCUACGCUUAGGAUGUUGAAGAUGUAGCACAUCAU